rnacentral:sRNA from 1 species
AAGAUGAUAACAAAACAGUAAAAGAGGAGAACGAAUGUUUAUAGCGAAAACGAAAGAAGAAACACCAAUUCAGAGAAACUCAGAAAUUCGCGUGAUUUCCACAACUCCAAAAAGCUGGAGUCCCAUCCUAGUUACCGCGAGCAAACUCUAACAGAGACCAAUACAACGAACAAAUUUUACGGGUCAAUAUGGGAGUAAUAAACUCAACAAUUGAAUUUAGUAGACUU